ACCCCAUAUCAUAUUAGUAAGCUGAAAAGUAGGUUAAGACCAUAAAACAAGUAGGGAUCAGGCACAAAGCAAGUAUUAACAACAAGCCACCAAAACUAAAAUAUUUAAGAACCAAUGAUACUAGAGACUGAUAAAUUACAGGAUGAGUGAUUCAAAACCUGAUCGUUAACCAAAUCCAUAAGAAAACAGAAUUAUACUGAUUCCACAUAAAAAUUCGUAUAUAUAGCAACAGAAGAAACUUACCUCUUCUUCUUCCCAAUCAAACA